rnacentral:antisense_RNA from 1 species
AGAACUUGCAAAGCGUUGCUGGAAAAGACGGGAGUUCUACUGACACUCCAGUCCAAAGUUAGGUGGGACCGCCUCCUGUCGCACGUUUCCGCCUGGUCCCGCGCUUUAGGAGCUAGGAAAUGUGACAGAGGCGGUGCCUACUGCCUCGCUAGGAAUGGCCGCGGAGGAGGACUGGUCACGUGGCGUGGCUUCCGGCCUCUGGCGCGUUCCUAUUCGGGAAGGUUUUAAAUGCGGAGUCAUCUCUUGAUUUGUCAGCGAGGCUUUGACUGUGAGCUUCGCGGCGUUCGCGCCUCACCGCCUCACCGCCUCACCGAGGUGGGUACGCUGCGAAGACUAGGCUUAUGUUACCCAGAGGUUAGUCCUCUACUAGGCCACGUACUUUAAAUAAUUUAUCACGCUAGUGGAAAUGCGGGCCGGAAGAAAACCCCACCAGCCUUUGGAUUGUAACAGCACAGUAACUUUCCCUGGUUUUAAAAAAUAUUGCCAAAAUACUGCGACUCCAUGUGGCCAACGUAUAGUGACUGAUCACUUUGAAAUGCAUGCCCUUGACCCACCAACUCGCAUGGCCUCUCGCUAUAAGAGAGCAAGCCGGCUGUGUUCCAUGUUCAAUUCAAUAAGUGCAAUUCAAUAAGCUUUUGACUUGUUCUGCCCAAGCAAAUCCUGCCUUUAUAUCGACCUUGCAAGCAGAACAGAGAAUGCUGUUUGGAAGGCAGAAUUCAUAGUACCUAAUUUUCUUGUCCCUGGGAAUUUUGAGGGACUUGAAAUGUCGCGUGGAUGAGUGAGGGAGUUUGUCUUCCAGAGACAAAGCAAAACGAAAUGUCAAAGUUCUGUGCUGGUGAAACCAGAUUUGAAGAAUAUCAAAGGCGUCUUACCAAAGAGGAAAAAAAAUGCAUCCUGCCAAGACUUGAAGAAAGGGAUUAGAGAAACCAGAGGCCUUGAAUACUCAGAAAAUGGGAGAUUGUGAAUGGGUGUAGAGGAUAUCUAUGAACCUUGACAUUUCUUUUCACGCCAAGUCCAUUCCCCUGUUAACAGUUGCUUCCCAGUUUCCUGCACAGCUGCAUGGUCUGGGACACUUAAAGAAAAAAAUCACAGGAAAUCAGUGUUCUUGGUAUAUUAUAUAAAGUUAUGAUUCUAUCAA